GCGGGAUUAGCUCAGUUGGUAGAGCAACAUAUUUACACUAUGAAGGUCGGGGGUUCGAGCCCUCCAUCCCGCA
rnacentral:tRNA from 1 species